rnacentral:rRNA from 1 species
UACGUAGGUGGCAAGCGUUGUCCGGAAUUAUUGGGCGUAAAGCGCGCGCAGGCGGUUCCUUAAGUCUGAUGUGAAAGCCCACGGCUCAACCGUGGAGGGUCAUUGGAAACUGGGGAACUUGAGUGCAGAAGAGGAAAGUGGAAUUCCACGUGUAGCGGUGAAAUGCGUAGAGGUGUGGAGGAACACCAGUGGCGAAGGCGACUUUCUGGUCUGUAACUGACGCUGAGGCGCGAAAGCGUGGGGAGCAAACAGG